rnacentral:rRNA from 1 species
GACGAACGCUGGCGGCGUGCCUAAUACAUGCAAGUCGAACGAACCGCGACUAGGUGCUUGCACUUGGUCAAGGUGAGUGGCGAACGGGUGAGUAACACGUGGGUAACCUACCUCAUAGUGGGGGAUAACAGUCGGAAACGACUGCUAAUACCGCAUAGGACAUAGGAUCACAUGAUCCAGUGAGGAAAGGUGGCGCAAGCUAUCGCUAAGAGAUGGACCCGCGGUGCAUUAGCUAGUUGGUAGGGUAAAGGCCUACCAAGGCGAUGAUGCAUAGCCGACCUGAGAGGGUGAUCGGCCACAUUGGGACUGAGACACGGCCCAAACUCCUACGGGAGGCAGAAGUAGGGAAUCUUCCGCAAUGGACGCAAGUCUGACGGAGCAACGACGCGUGAGUGAAGAAGGUCUUCGGAUCGUAAAGCUCUGUUGUUAGAGAAGAACAGCGCAUAGAGUAACUGUUAUGCGUGUGACGGUAUCUAACCAGAAAGCCACGGCUAACUACGUG